rnacentral:lncRNA from 1 species
UUUUUUUUUUUUUUUAAACUUAGUAACUUGUUUGGCUUGGUGAUAAAACUAUUUAAUAAAAUCCGUGAGACAUAUACUAAUGUUUAGAGGUUGGUUUUGGUUUGCUUUUUUAAAAACAACUCUUGUCACGGUCACUAUACUCUGACACAGAGGAAGCAGGGCCUUUCCUCACAGGUAGGUUUCUGUGGCAUUUGUAGUUCUCAUUAGACCUAGAAUAGAUGUCUGAAGCUCUGUUACUCGGGAUUUCCUUGAACCUGCCUAAUUUUGCUCUUUCUGUGUUCAUGUCUUUAAACUAAUUUCUGGUGAGCCCUUGUGAUUGAGUCAGGCCACUGUGCCCCUAUUAAAAAGUGACGCUAAGAACAAAAUUCCUUUUCAAACGUAACCCUCCACUCCUUCUUCUUUUCUCUAAACUAAAACAUUCUUUCUCAUCUUUUCUUUCUUGAACCAGACUAAUCUAGAGAAAGAUCUCAGCUUCUGCCAAGCAGAGUUAGAGGCAGAUUUAGAGAAAGUGGAGACCGUUAAUAAAUCACCCAGUGCAAACUCGCCACAGAGCUCAGCAGUCAGCCCGACUCCAGACAUUACGUCAGAGCCUCCUGGAUAGUAAGUAGCCACUCCUAUGUUUUCAUGGCUUAAUGUAUCAAGGACUAGACAAGGGUGAGAACAGCUGGUGGGUUGGACCAUGAUCUCUAUCUGUCUUGUGGUGUCCCGUGGUAGGCAGUAAAGGCUUUGGCCCUGGGGAGGGCUCAUGGCCCUGGGCUGUCACAUGCUUUGGGCUUUGUCUUCCAGUAGUUUGAUGGUAUUGUAGUUUUCAAAUUAGUUUUCUUUGGUUCUCUCUUCUUUCUCCGAAUUAACUUUAGAGAUUCAUGUUAUGUUUGCUAGCUUUAUCCCAGGUUGAUGCCUUUAACUUUGGAAUGUGAAGUUAUUUGUCUGCGCUUAUUUUAAUUUUACUUACUUUGCACACAUAUGUGUGGGUAUAUGUCUGUGAGUUGUGGGUGUGGCUAUGGAAGUCAGAGCAAUGCUAUGGGAGUUUUCUUCUCAUCCUGAACCCUGGAAUCUAUCAGGUCAUCAGGUUUGCACAGUGGGUGCUUCUGUUUGCUUAGUCAUCUUAUUGGCCUAUUUGUCUACAUCAGAAUCAGUCUUGCCCUCAGUGGAUUCCUGAGGGAAGGGACUGUAGCCAGGAUGUACUGGAUCUAGAAUAAAGAUACAGGAGCUGAUAGUAUGGUUAGGUCCUCAAGCCAGUCCCACCAUGCAGAAUGUGGAGCCUAGAUUUUCAUAUGGACAUGGAUUUUUCUUUUAUUAUUCUGCCAAUUCUUAAGAAUUUGGCUGCACAGUGCAUGCAUGCCCCAUUCACUUCCUCGUGGAGUAACUGAUACUAGGGAUACAGGGAUGGGUUUAUUUUCUCUGACAAUGAAUUAAAAAGCAAGAGAAGGAAAGAAAUGGAAAUCUUGGGUGUCCCAGCAGAACUACCGUGUGAUAUCUUGGAAAUUAGGAUCCCUUCUUGGCUCCCAAUUUCAUUAAUAAAAGAGUUUUAAAAUGGAUAUACCUGUAGAAGUUUGAGGAGCACUUAUUAGAACAUAAAAGGGGAAGACUGGGACAGGCAGGCUGUCAACCUCUAGUGCCUAGAAGGAGAAAGAGGGAGAAAGGAACAAAAGCCAGGCUGCUUGAGAUAGGCAAUUACAGGUCAGCCAUGUGACAGCAGUCAGCCUGGGGCCAGCACGGGCGCUUUUGAAAAAGUCAGGAGUUAGGGGGGUUAAGUUAGUUAGGGAGUUUAAAAGUGUAAGUUCUGGCCAGCAGCUGAAAGAAAAAUACAGAAAAGAAGAAACGGAAACAAUUAAACACCUUCUAAGUCAGUCUUGAGAAAGGCUUACACAUCUAGCUGAACCUCAUGGUAGUCAGACUGCCAAGGAUAACCUUGGAGGAAGGAAUUCUGGGAAGGAACAUCCUAAAGUGAGCCUGCCUUACUACAGACGAUCCUACAGCCAGGAUGCCAACCUGCCCCAUUGGAUUAACCUUUACAGGAAGAGAAAAGGGCAUGUCUCCACCUAGAGGUAGAGUCCAUUUUUUUUACAUGACCAUGGUCUCCUCUAACUCUAAUCCUCUCCCAGAAUGCCCUUCCCAGGGCUUUGCCAUGCAGCUCUUACUCUGUCUGAGUUAUUUUCAGGGCUACCUUUAUCUUACCCUAGGAGAUCUGUAGUACAUAGCAAGCUCCUACGCUGUAUAAAAAAGUUCUGCCUGGACUUUCUCAUGCCCAGGCUCACGCUAGUGCUUUAUCCGGCCUCUGCGUCUGCUGCAAUUAUCUGAGUUAUUUGUGGAUACUUUCCUAACUGUUAUUAUAAACUCUUCAGGGACAAGACCUAUCUUCAGGGUGCCAGGUAGAUAAAUUUGAUAAAUUUGAGGUCUGGCAGGGUUUGGUUGCACUGGGCAUUUUAACCAGGACUCUCCCCGCCCACCUUGCUUCAGCAUUGCUUGGUAUUAACCAUUGCUGCCUGGCCUUCCCUCUGACCCUUCAUGCCUUCUCCCAGAACUGCCCAGAGAAGGCAGCUCAGCGAAUUCCUUAGAUGUGCCAGCACUAGGCUACUUCCCACAGUAGGAAUUUUGGCACGGUCCCUUGAUUUUCUGGGGGAUCCUCUCACCUUCACAAAAUAAGUAUAGUGAAUAAAAGACAAAGCGGCAGAGGAAUGAAGUAUAUGUAACGGUUAGAAGUGUUUGGAAGAGUAAGUCACUACCAUGGUGAUCAGUUGGGGCUAAGAGCACAGAUCUCAGUGGCAUACUUUUAAGUUUAUUGAACACUUACUGUGUCCUCUUCACAUUUAUUCCUCUGAGCAUCCCAGGUGCAGGUAUGACAUGUGAGGAAAUGGGUGUCCUAGCUCAGUGUUCUGCACACAGUUCAUAGCUGAUGAUACUCUGGGCCAGGUGUCAGUAGUAGCACCUCACCUAAACUAUACUGAUUCAAACUUAGUAGGAAUGUAGCCAAAAGCAUAAUAAAGCCAAUUUUGAGCUAUUGAAUACAAUAUAAGCAAGCCUUUGUAGUACUAGCAUUUUGAGUCACUGUCACUGUUUUAUUCUCCAACUGUCUCUAGACCUUUAAGUUUGUAAUUUUCAUCUAACUACCGUUUAUCAUUUCUGCAUAUUAAAGCUGUUUUCACCUAACCGAAAGAGCUCUGCUCUGUUCAGCCAGCAAGUGGCACUUAAGGAAAAGCUGCUCUUUCUGAACCCACAGAGAGCAGUUUCCUUAAUCUGAGAACAAAACACAACCUGAAGAGCUAUAGAAAGCAUUGGAGAUUUCCCCAGCCCGUAAAAAUAUACCAGAAGCCUGUGUGCAUGUAGGCAUUUGGAUUUAGGAGCCUUUAUUCCACCAGCUUUUGUUUAACAACCUUAAAGGGCACCAAGCUUAGGAAGAUUAACCAACAACCUGCUGGAGUCACUGUGGAAGGUGAACCGGAUUUGUUAGUGGUAACUUGAAUCCAGCGUGGCAUAUGUGAUGCUGAGAUCCAGAAGGGGGCGGGCUCCUCUCACUGGAUGGAGGAAGAGAGAGAUCAAGGGAGACUUUAUAG